rnacentral:rRNA from 1 species
UACGGAGGGGGCUAGCGUUGUUCGGAAUUACUGGGCGUAAAGCGCACGUAGGCGGACUGUUAAGUCGGGGGUGAAAUCCUGGGGCUCAACCUCAGAAUUGCCUCCGAUACUGGCAGUCUCGAGUGCGGGAGAGGUGAGUGGAAUUCCCAGUGUAGAGGUGAAAUUCGUAGAUAUUGGGAAGAACACCAGUGGCGAAGGCGGCCUUCUCGGAGCAGUGGACUGACGCUGAGACGCGAAAGCGUGGGGAGCAAACAGGG